rnacentral:rRNA from 1 species
GACGAACGCUGGCGGCGUGCUUAACACAUGCAAGUCGAACGGAAAGGCCCUGCUUUUGUGGGGUGCUCGAGUGGCGAACGGGUGAGUAACACGUGAGUAACCUGCCCUUGACUUUGGGAUAACUUCAGGAAACUGGGGCUAAUACCGGAUAGGAGCUCCUGCUGCAUGGUGGGGGUUGGAAAGUUUCGGCGGUUGGGGAUGGACUCGCGGCUUAUCAGCUUGUUGGUGUGGUAGUGGCUUACCAAGGCUUUGACGGGUAGCCGGCCUGAGAGGGGGACCGGACACAUUGGGACUGAGAUACGGCCCAGCCUACUACGGGAGGCAGCAGUGGGGAAUAUUGCACAAUGGGCUGAAGCCUGAUGCAGCCACGCAGCGUGCGGGAUGACGGCCUUCGGGUUGUAAACCGCUUUCGCCUGUGACGAAGCGUGAAUGACGGUAAUGGGUAAAGAAGCACCGGCUAACUACGUG